rnacentral:rRNA from 1 species
GAUGAACGCUGGCGGCGUGCCUAAUACAUGCAAGUCGAGCGAAUGGAUUAAGAGCUUGCUCUUAUGAAGUUAGCGGCGGACGGGUGAGUAACACGUGGGUAACCUGCCCAUAAGACUGGGAUAACUCCGGGAAACCGGGGCUAAUACCGGAUAAUAUUUUGAACUGCAUGGUUCAAAAUUGAAAGGCGGCUUCGGCUGUCACUUAUGGAUGGACCCGCGUCGCAUUAGCUAGUUGGUGAGGUGACGGCUCACCAAGGCAACGAUGCGUAGCCGACCUGAGAGGGUGAUCGGCCACACUGGGACUGACACACGGCCCAGACUCCUACGGGAGGCAGCAGUAGGGAAUCUUCCGCAAUGGACGAAAGUCUGACGGAGCAACGCCGCGUGAGUGAUGAAGGCUUUCGGGUCGUAAAACUCUGUUGUUAGGGAAGAACAAGUGCUAGUUGAAUAAGCUGGCACCUUGACGGUACCUAACCAGAAAGCCACGGCUAACUACGUGCCAGCCGCCGCGGUAA